rnacentral:rRNA from 1 species
CGGACGGGUGAGUAAUGUCUGGGAAACUGCCUGAUGGAGGGGGAUAACUACUGGAAACGGUAGCUAAUACCGCAUAACGUCGCAAGACCAAAGAGGGGGACCUUCGGGCCUCUUGCCAUCGGAUGUGCCCAGAUGGGAUUAGCUAGUGGGUGGGGUAACGGCUCACCUAGGCGACGAUCCCUAGCUGGUCUGAGAGGAUGACCAGCCACACUGGAACUGAGACACGGUCCAG